rnacentral:rRNA from 1 species
AGUUUGAUCCUGGCUCAGGAUGAACGCUAGCUACAGGCUUAACACAUGCAAGUCGAGGGGCAGCAUUGGAGUAGCAAUACUUCAGAUGGCGACCGGCGCACGGGUGAGUAACACGUAUCCAACCUGCCGCUUACUCGGGGAUAGCCUUUCGAAAGAAAGAUUAAUACCCGAUGGUAUAAAGAGUUCGCAUGUUCUCUUUAUUAAAGAAUUUCGGUAAGCGAUGGGGAUGCGUUCCAUUAGAUUGUUGGCGGGGUAACGGCCCACCAAGUCUACGAUGGAUAGGGGUUCUGAGGGGAAGGUCCCCCACAUUGGAACUGAGACACGGUCCAAACUCCUACGGGAGGCAGCAGUGAGGAAUAUUGGUCAAUGGACGCGAGUCUGAACCAGCCAAGUAGCGUGAAGGAUGACUGCCCUAUGGGUUGUAAACUUCUUUUAUAAGGGAAUAAAGUGAGGGACGUGCCCCUUUUUGUAUGUACCUUAUGAAUAAGGAUCGGCUAACUCCGUGCCAGCAGCCGCGGUAAUACGGAGGAUCCAAGCGUUAUCCGGAUUUAUUGGGUUUAAAGGGAGCGUAGGUUGACAUAUAAGUCAGCUGUGAAAGUUUACGGCUCAACCGUGAAAUUGCAGUUGAUACUGUAUGUCUUGAGUGUACAAGAGGUGGGCGGAAUUCGUGGUGUAGCGGUGAAAUGCUUAGAUAUCACGAAGAACUCCAAUUGCGAAGGCAGCUCACUGGGGUACAACUGACACUGAGGCUCGAAAGUGUGGGUAUCAAACAGGAUUAGAUACCCUGGUAGUCCACACAGUAAACGAUGAAUACUCGCUGUUUGCGAUAUACAGUAAGCGGCCAAGCGAAAGCAUUAAGUAUUCCACCUGGGGAGUACGCCGGCAACGGUGAAACUCAAAGGAAUUGACGGGGGCCCGCACAAGCGGAGGAACAUGUGGUUUAAUUCGAUGAUACGCGAGGAACCUUACCCGGGCUUGAAUUGCAGAGGAACAUAGUUGAAAAAUUAUGGCCGCAAGGUCUCUGUGAAGGUGCUGCAUGGUUGUCGUCAGCUCGUGCCGUGAGGUGUCGGCUUAAGUGCCAUAACGAGCGCAACCCUUAUCAUUAGUUACUAACAGGUCAUGCUGAGGACUCUAGUGAGACUGCCGUCGUAAGAUGUGAGGAAGGUGG